UACAGAGGUCCCAAGUGUUGUUCGGAUUCACUGGGCGUAAAGGGUGCGUAGGUGGUGAGGUAAGUCGGAUGUGAAAUCUCCGGGCUCAACCCGGAAAUGGCAUUGGAAACUACCUUGCUAGAGGAUUUGAGGGGGGAUUGGAAUACUUGGUGUAGCAGUGAAAUGCGUAGAUAUCGUGAGGAAGACCAGUGGCGAAGGCGGGUCUCUGGACAGUUCCUGACACUGAGGCACGAAGGCCAGGGGAGCAAACGGG
rnacentral:rRNA from 1 species